GUGUAUGUGUGUUUGUCAGUAAGAGUGUAUGUGUUUGUCAGUGAGUGUGUAUGUGUGUUUGUCAGUGAAAGUGUAUGUGUCAGUGAGAGUGUAUAUGUGUGUUUGUCAGUGAGUAUGUAUGUGUUUGUCAGGUAGUGUGUAUGUGUGUUUGUCAGUAAGAGUGUAUGUGUUUGUCAGUGAGUGUGUAUGUGUAUUUGUCAGUGAGAGUAUAAAUGUGUUUGUCAGUGAGAGUGUAUAUGUGUUUGUCAGUGGGUUUGUAUGUGUUUGUCAGUGAGUGUGUAUGUGUUUUUGUCAGUGAGAGUGUAUAUGUGUUUGUCAGCGAUUUUGUAUGGGUGCUUGUCAGUGAGAGUGUAUGUGUGUUUGUCAGUGAGUGUGUGUAUGUGUUUGUCAGUGAGAG